UAUCAGCUUUGGAUGGUAGUGUAUUGGACUACCAUGGCAGUCACGGGUAACGGAGAAUUAGGGUUCGAUUCCGGAGAGGGAGCCUGAGAAACGGCUACCACAUCUACGGAAGGCAGCAGGCGCGCAAAUUGCCCAAUCCCGACACGGGGAGGCAGUGACAAGAAAUAACAACUCUAGGAUUUCUUAGAAGUGUAAUGAGGAUAAUUUACAAACCUUACCGAAUGCAAUUGGAGGGCAAGUCUGGUGCCAGCAGCCGCGGUAAUUCCAGCUCCAAUAGCGUAUAUUAAAGUUGUUGCAGUUAAAAAGCUCGUAGUUGAAGUUCUGAUCGUUCAGGUCCUCAGCCUUAGGCGGGGAUUCUGACGGUCAUCCGCUUGCAAACAUAUGCUCGGUCUUCACCGGUUGGCUAUGUGAGUAAGCAUUUUACCUUGAGAAAAACAGAGUGUUCCAGGCAGGUUUGUCCGGAAUGCAUUAGCAUGGAAUAAUAGAACAUGACUGAAGUCUAUUUAUUGGUUUAAGGCUUUAGUAAUGAUUAAUAGGAACAGUCGGGGGCAUUCGUACUCAGCAGUCAGAGGUGAAAUUCUAAGAUUUGCUGAAGACGAACUAAUGCGAAAGCAUUUGCCAAGGAUGUUUUCAUUAAUCAAGAACGAAAGUUAGGGGAUCAAAGACGAUCAGAUACCGUCCUAGUCUUAACUAUAAACGAUACCGACUCGGAUUCAGAUGAAUCAAAAAGUUCAUUUGGGACCGUAGGAGAAAUCAAAGUCUUUGGGUUCUGGGGGGAGUAUGGUCGCAAGGCUGAAACUUAAAGGAAUUGACGGUUUUGCACCACCAUGGAGUGGAGUCUGCGGCUUAAUUUGACCCAACACUGGGAAACUCAUCAGGGCAAGAAGAUUUUAGGAUUGACAGAUUGAGAGUUCUUUCUUGAUUGGUCUAGUGGUGGUGCAUGGCCGUUCUUAGUUGGUGGAGUGAUUUGUCUGGUUAAUUCCGUUAACGAAUGAGACCUUAACCUGCUAACUAGUGAGCCGAUUCCUAAUCGGCUGCACUUCUUAGAGGGACUAUGUGUGGUAAUCACAUGGAAGUUUGAGGCAAUAACAGGUCUGUGAUGCCCUUAGAUGUCCUGAGCUGCACGCGUACUACAAUGGCACUUUCAACAAGUCUUUCCUGAUUCGAAAGGAUUUGGGAAUCUUUUUAGGGAGUGCCGUGCUUGGGAUAGAUCUUUG
rnacentral:rRNA from 1 species